rnacentral:rRNA from 1 species
UGAGUAACACGUAUCCAACCUGCCGUCUACUCUUGACAGCCUUCUGAAAGGAAGAUUAAUACAAGAUGGCAUCAUGAGUCCGCAUGUUCACAUGAUUAAAGGUAUUCCGGUAGACGAUGGGGAUGCGUUCCAUUAGAUAGUAGGCGGGGUAACGGCCCACCAAGCACGAUGGAUAGGGGUUCUGAGAGGAAGGUCCCCCACAUUGGAACUGAGACACGGUCCAA